UUUUGGUAAGCAGAACUGGCGCUGCGGGAUGAACCGAACGCCGAGUUAAGGCGCCGAAAUCGACGCGUAUUCAGAGACCAUGAAAGGCGUUGGUUGCUGAUGACAGCAGGACGGUGGCCAUGGAAGUCGGGAAUCCGCUAAGGAGUGUGUAACAACUCACCUGCCCGAAGCAACUAGCUCUGAAAAUGGAUGGCGCUGGAGCGUCGUGCCCUAUACUCGGCCGUCGACGGCAUAGUGGGGCCCAGUCGUCGCUCGCGGCGGCCGGUCCCGGCAAGCCUCGACGAGUAGGAUGGCGCGGCGGUGUGCGUCGAAGGGCAGGUCGCGAGACCGCCUGGAGCCGCCGUCGGUGCAGAUCUUGGUGGUAGUAGCAAAUACUCGAGAGGGGCCCUCGGGGGCUGCCGUGGAGAAGGGUUUCUUGUGAACAGCCGUUGUCCAAGAGUCAGUCGAUCCUAAGCCCGGGGAGAGAUCCUCGUACCACGGGCGAAGGCGUUUUCGAAUCGCCCUUGGGGCGAGAGGGAAUCCGGUUCGUAUUCCGGAACCCGACGCGGAACCGCUCCCUAGUGUUCGGGGCUCUUUUGUCUCGUCUGGGUAACCAGAAUGAACUCGAAGAAGCCGCCGGGGGAUCUGGGUAGAGUUCUCUUUUCUCUGUGAGCGUUGUACGUCCCUGGAAUCCUCUAGCCGGGCGAUAGGGACGCGAGCGCGAAGAGCACCGCUCGUUGCGGCGGUGUCCGUGAUCCCCACGCGGACCUUGAAAAUUCGAGAGAGGGCCACGCGGAGUCUUCGCGUCGGUUCGUACCGAUAUCCGCAGCAGGUCUCCGAGGUGAGCAGCCUCUAGCCGCAUAGAAUAAUGUAGGUAAGGGAAGUCGGCAAAACCGAUCCGUAACUUCGGGAUAAGGAUUGGCUCUGAGGAGCGUGGCUGCCGGGUUCGGGUCGUCGUAGAAGCGUAGGCGUUUUUGGCGACACCCCGGCCGUCGCCCGUGCGCCCGGUCUUCGGAACGGGAGCCUCGAGGCGGCCGCGGGCCCGUCGCCGUCCGCCGACCGUGGAACCACCGAGCUUCGGUCGCUGGCCGCGUCGCGGCCGGCCGACCGCCUUGGUGUCGGUUCGCCGUCACCGGGCGGUCCGGCCGCCGCGCCGUCGGUCGCGUAGCCGGAUCGACAGCCAUGUAACGGUCAACUCAGAACUGGCACGGACCAGGGGAAUCCGACUGUCUAAUUAAAACAAAGCAUCGCGAUGGCCCGGGACGGGUGUUGACGCGAUGUGAUUUCUGCCCAGUGCUCUGAAUGUCAACGUGAAGAAAUUCAAGCAAGCGCGGGUAAACGGCAGGAGUAACUAUGACUCUUUUAAGGUAGCCAAAUGCCUCGUCAUCUAAUUAGUGACAGCGCAUGAAUGGAUUAACGAGAUUCUCACUGUCCCUAUCUA
rnacentral:ncRNA from 1 species